AUAGUACUUGUAAAUUUGGCCACCAAAUAUAACAGAUUCACAAAACCAAAAUAUGACAUUUGGACACAUUAGCCAUUCUUAGGUAAAUCCAAAAACCACUGUCUUAUCGUGUUCCUAUUUUGUCUUAACCACUCGAUAUUGUUCUUCACUGUUUCCAGCACUUGUUCCCUGGGUUUUUCUCCUGCUCCAGCAUCUGGAUAUCUUUUGAAAAAGCUCUCCAUCUAGAAAAGAGAGGGAAAUAAUUAAGAAAGUCAUUUUAAGCCCCAUUAGUUUUCAAGGCUUUUAUUUACAGGCUGGAUUUGUUUCCUUCUUCCCUGGAAAUUCACUAUCAUUGCACAUGUCUUGGUGCAUCAUUUGGACUGAGCCUGUCUCUUCGAUUGGCAAUCAUUACCCAUGGCUUUUGGACUGUUGGCAGCACGUCAGGUCAAAAGAGGCUCUCCCAUCCUGGGGAAGGAGAGCAGCACAUCGGUGGCUGGUGUGCCCCUCUGUGAUUCUGCUGCUUCUCUACUUUGUGCGUUCCCCGGGGUGUUCCCUGGAAAACCCAGUCUGUCAAAUGCUGGCUUGGCUUAUCUUUCACUUCAGGAGUCCAGAACAUUUUAAUAUACUUUCAGUUCCCUUAUUAAGGACUCACAAUAACCUCUCUGUUACCUUGGUUCUAUCAUUUGUCUUCCUUCCAAAAUCCUCCCCCAAUCAUAGUAUUGUUUGCUACUUACACAAAUAAAAGUUUUUUUUGGUUCUUAACACACAGAAUGUUAACAUUCCAAUAUAUAAUAUACAGAUAUUGAAAAUUCAUACAAUCUCAAUUUUCCAACAUCCAUAAACAUUUUCCCCUCUGGGAACUGAGAUAUUUGAAACUGAAAAGUCUUUAAAUUCCAAAACAGUGAAUUUUGGAAGGAAUCAAAUCUUGACCAUCCUAUUUCAGGUCACAUUUACUAUCCAUGCUUUGGUAAAGUCAAAAGGUCUCAUGUAGCCUUCUAAGCCUCUCAAGGCCUCAGCUUUCUCAACUUUUACACUUUGUUUCUUAGUUAAUUGAAUUUUUUCAGUUUAGAAAAAAAUAGGUAUACAUUUAAUUUGAUAUAAGAAUUAUUUCUUUCUCCUUGUCUGAGAACUAAAUAGAGAAAAUGCCAUUUCUAUUUAAAAAAAGAAAAAAAAAUUGUAAUCCUGUUCUUCCUAGAUGAGUAUAGAGGAAUUUAACUUCAUACCUGCCACAGCUGUAGUUCAGUGUUGAAUGGUUCUGCUAUUGUGACAAUCCUGCCAAGAUUUCUGUCAUUGAUUGUGUAUCUGAAGAAAAAUUUAAGGAAGUAAAAGGGAAUAUAAGUGCCUAGAACUUUAAAUCUUGGAUUUUGUGGAUUUUUAAUAAAAGUCAUUUUCAAAGUAAGCAAAACACAAGCAAGAAUCAGAAAUUUCCUUACAGACCGUAAUACAAAAAAUUGUGAUACAGAUAAACAUCUCAUCGCAAUCAAUCACUGUGUGAGAAAAACCACAAGAAUUAUGUAUUAACUUUGAAUCAGUGGAAUACUGGUGAAGAAUAAAAGAAAAUGUAUCGCUAUACAGACAGAGCGCCCCCCAUCUGAAAGUGGAGCAUUCCUGUGAAACCUUUCAUAACCUGAAAUGGCAUAAAGAGAGGACUCUCAUUUUCUAAAAGUCUGUAAUAAUUCCACUGUGUUUUCACAAAAGACCUACAUUAGUACCUGCUUUUGCUAAUGGAAAGAAAUCCAAAGAGCAUCUUCAUUUUUAUGGAAAAACCCAUUACCAUACUAAGACACUAGAUGACCCCAUCACACAUGAGUGAUAGAGACAAUAUCCAAAGAUAGAACAGGCAUAGAGAGAUAAAACAAUAUUAUCACUACUGUCCCAAGAAGUCUGAAUGAGGAUUGAGACCAGUUUGGAAUGCUGCCUUCAUUUUUGUUCUUUUGAUGAGUUCACUGCUCAGCACUACCACUGGAGGGCAGGCAGAGGAAGGGAGAAGAAAU